rnacentral:lncRNA from 1 species
GCUGAAGUUCCAGAGCCGGUAAACGCAUGCCUGGGUGCUGCUUUCACUCCUACCACCCUCAGAAAAACCCGGCCUGCCAAGACCGUGAGCAAGAAUAGUAGAACUUCACAAGGUAGGGAGCAUCCCAAACUGCAGUGAUGGUAGGAACUGGAGUCUCUUCAGGAUUAAACAGAUUUACUAGUUGCAAACAGGAAGAGCAGCAGAGUGCAGGGUGUUAGCACUCGCCGAGGGGGAGGGGCUGGAAGAUGGCGGCGGACGCACACCCACCCGACCGCGACAGAGCUUAGGCCCCUAGCCCGCGCCGCCGCCCGCUGCUCGCAGCCACUGUGGGCAGCCCUGCUCUGUCCCGCGUUGCUGGUAGAGCCGCCCCGCGGAGGCGUGGGACCAGGGUGGCGUCCGCAUCCCCUGCCAGCGCGCCUUCGCCCGGGUCCGUCCAGGGAGCACCUGUGCACGGCCAUAUUGGAUUCUGUGCCCCAGUCACUGCCUCAGCGCGGCGGGAAAGGAGAGGAGUUCAACAAUUUUUAUGAAUUUCUAAUCCAACCUCAUCAUCCUAUGGGAAACAGAAGACCACCAAGAACAGCCAGCUGAGACAGAAUUUCACUGUGUUGCCCAAGCCAAUCUUAAACUCCUGGUCUCAAGCGAUCCUCCUGCCUUGGCCUCCCACUGUGCCUGGCCUAUGGACUCUGAAUUUUUUUAAAAGACUGGAAAAAACUUUUAUAAGAGAAUUGGAAAUUUGGACAAUGGAAUCUCAUUCUGUCACCAGGCUGAAGUGCAGUGACGUGAUCUUGGCUCACUGCAACCUCCACCUCCUGGGUUCAAGCGAUUCUCCUGCCUCAGCCUCCUGAGUAGCUGGGAUUACAGGUAUCUUGGCAGUAACCUCCUCCAUAUAUUUCCUUGGCCCUCAGCUUACAUCUAGCAAAAUGACUCUACUGGUUCCAGGCUUCACAUGCAUACAACAUGGUGUUGGAGGAACAGAGAUGUUUUCUCUUCCUGGUGUUUUCCCAGACAUUUCUUAGCUGGCAUUUCAAACAAGGGUCCUGAAAUUCACCCUGGUUGGGUCGUGUUCUCCCCUUCCCAUUCCCCAUCCCCACCCUCAACCGAAAAAUGAUGUAAGCAGGGGAAAUUGAAUGUACCAAUGUUUGUUUUUAAACAAGCCACAGACCCCUCCCCAACUCCCCGACUGAAGCUUGAAGUGGGAUCAGCUUUCCCUAAAGUACUUGAGCUUAUGGUAAAGCAUAUAUGUUAUCCAAGUUAAAGUCUGGACGCUGUUAGUAAUGGGAAGGCAAGUAAUGAAUGUUAGCUAUGGAGCCAACAGACAGUGUCCACUCCAUUGUCUUUAAGGCCCAACUAAAGAUAACCUCUUUACCAAUGUCGGUUUAUUUAUUCAUUUAUUUAUUCAUUGAGAUGGAGUCUCACUCUCUCACCCAAGCUGGAGUGCAGUGGAAUGAUCUCAGCUGACUGCAAUUUCUGCCUCCCAGGUUCAAGCAAUCUCCUGCUUCAGCCUCCCAAGUAGCUGGGAUUACAGGCGCACACCACCAUGCCCGGCUAAUUUUUGUAUUUUUAGUAGAGAUAGGGUUUCACCAUGUUGGCCAAGCUGGUCUCGGACACCUGACCUCAAGUGAUCUGCCUGCCUCGGCCCCCAAAGGUGUGAGCCACUGCACCUGGCUACAAUGUCAGUUUCUAUAAAAACUGCCUUGACUUGUUUUGUUUGCUUGUUUUGUUUGUUUGUGUUUUAAUUUUUAUUAUUUUUUUUUAGAGACAGGGUCUCAAUCUGUUGUCUAGGCUUGAGUGCAGUGGUGCAAUCAUAGCUCACUGAAGUGUUGGACUCCCAGGCUCAAGCAGUCCUCCCACCUCAGCCUCCCAAGUAGCUGAGACUACAGGCAUGCACCACCCUGUCUGGCUAAUUUUUUAUUUUUAGUAGAGAUGAGGUCUCACUAUGUUGCCCAAGGUGGCCUCAAACUCCUGGCCUCAAGUACUCCUGUGGCCUUAGCCUCCCAAAGCUCUGGGAUUGCAGGUAUGAGCCGCCAUGCCUGGCCUACUGUAUAUUUUAUGCAUUUGAUAUAAGUCUUGCCUCCCUAAGUAUAUUACAAGUCCCUUGAAGUUAAAGACAUUAGAUUCCUACUCAGUGCUGAGCUGCAACAGAGAGCACUCAAUGAUGGAUAAAAUAGUUUUAGCAUGCAUUCAGCGAUAUAUAUUUAGAAAGUGGAACUAGGUGGUUGAAAAAAGUGUAUAGAUGGGUGGAAGGGAAUAUUACAGCUCUUAGAAUUGUCCUAAGGUGAGAGUAACAAAUUAAGCAAUGAGUCCCUGGGUUCACUCAAGCAACUUCACUCUCUAAAACAAGAGCCCACAGAAUCCCAUUUCUGCUUUCAGAAUGAGUUUGAGGCCAAUAUUAUUUCCAUUUUUUUUCUUUUUCUUUCUUUCUUUUUUUUUUUUUUUUUUUUGAGACGGAGUUUCACUCUUGUUGCCCAGGCUGUUUUGAUCUCGGCUCACUGCAACCUCUGCCCCUGGGUUCAAGCGAUUCUCCUGUCUCAACCUCCCAAGCUGGGAUUACAAGCAUGCGCUACCACACCUGGCUAAUUUUGUAUUUUUAAUAGAGACGGGGUUUCUCUGUGUUGGUCAGGCUGGUCUCAAACUCCCAACCUCAGGUGAUCUGCCCACCUUGGCCCAGCCUCCAAUAUGAUUUUCUAAUAGCUGUGUUUGAUGAUUAUAUUUAUUCCUCCAUCAGUAGCUUUUUUAGCCUUGAAAAUAUCUAUUUAAGUUUCUUAUUUCCUUUGGAUCUAUCAAAGUGUUUUUCCCCAAGUGGCACCUGGGAAAACAUAUUCUAUUCAUUUAUUUUAUAACUGUUCCCUUGACCUCUUUAUUGCUUCCCUAUUACAACCCAAGAUGCUCUUGUAAACCUGACUUAAUAUUGGCAGUCUUCAUCCCUUGCAAAUGGAAGUGAUGACAGACCCAAUACUUUGUGUAAAAAUAUUUUGCUAUUUCUAUACAAAAUAUUUUAUUAAUGGAAACCACAUGUUAUGUAUUUUACAUAUGUUAUGACUUGAAAUUUAUGUUAUGACUUGAAAUUGGGGAAUCUGAUAUGUCUCUAAUAAUAAAGGCUUCACAGUACAACUGUUGUUUGUAGAUUUACAGAUGGCUGGCAUUUUAAUUUUUUAAUUUAAAUUUUUAAUUCAAAUAUGAUUGACCUGAAAUAUUAACAAAAAUUAUCCUUGAAUUGUUGCACUGCAAAAUAAGAAAGCAAAAUCAGCUAUCUAUGAUGCAACAUUUUAUUUAUAAAUUAAGAUUGUUAGCACUCAUCUAUUGAUUUUUCUCUCUAUUAAACAUACUCCUAAUAAUAAAGGGAAGGAAGGAUCUUUGUAAAGUUAAAUUUACCGUAGCAAAGAAUAGAGGUGAUAAUUAAUAACAUGUUAAAACUCCUU